UACGGAGGGUGCGAGCGUUGUCCGGAAUCACUGGGCGUAAAGGGCGCGUAGGCGGCUCAUGAAGGCUGUGGUGAAAGUCCGGGGCUCAACCUCGGAUCGGCCGUGGCGACUCGUGGGCUGGAGCACUGUAGAGGCGGGUGGAAUUCCGGGUGCAGCGGUGGAAUGCGUAGAGAUCCGGAAGAACACCAGUGGCGAAGGCGGCCCGCUGGGCAGUGGCUGACGCUGAAGCGCGACAGCGUGGGGAGCAAACAGG
rnacentral:rRNA from 1 species